UCCGAUAUGGUGUAGUGGCCAACAUGAUGCCCUCUCAUCUCUGCUGAGAGGUUAGGCAUAGCCCCGAGUUCGAUUCUCGGUUUCGGAA
rnacentral:tRNA from 1 species